GAGAAAGCAGGCUCUCUUUCCAAAGAAGUGACAACUCUCCAGAAGAUUCUACCUAGACCCAGGUUCUGGAAUAGGAGCUUCAGCCUGUUGUCUGGAUGUGCCCAGGGGUGUACCCUGGCCUUUUUCUUGCCCAGAGCUCAACAGCUAUGCCCCUGGAGUUUUGGUCAGUGGGCCUGGUGGUCCUGCUGCUCAUGCUCGGGAGAGCCCAUGGAGAUUCGGUGACCCAGACAGAAGGUCUUGUUAUCCUCUCCGAGGGGGCACGUCUGAUCCUGAACUGCACCUACCAAACCAGCUACUCAGAAUUCCUUUAUUGGUACAUCCAGGAUUUCAAUCAAGCUCCCCAGUUGCUCCUGAAAAGCGCCACAGACAACCACCAAGUGGAGCAUGAUGGUUUCCAGGCCACUCUGGUUAAGAAGAACAGCUCCUUUCACCUGCACAAGUCCUCAGUGCGGGUAUCAGACUCAGCUGUGUACUACUGUGCCGUGAGAGACACUGUGAGAGAAAGCACCGGGGAGCCAGAGCACAAACCUGGGGCCAGCAGGUGGCACCUGCGUAUGGCAGCCCUGCGUGGGGAGAGUUAUAGCUUCUCUCCAGAGUCACGAUCUAAACUGGGGACAACUGGAGGAGAAGGGACAAAUUCCAGCUUUGGUGCCUCACAACCCGCGUCCCUGGAGUAACUUAAAGCAGGCACGGGGCUAGGGACUCCAAGGAAACACCUGAGUUCCAGUUUGCAGCUGUUACUUUCAGUAACUGUGCCUUGAGUAUUCCACCAGGUUGA